rnacentral:misc_RNA from 2 species
AACGCACCUUGCGCCUUUUGGUAUUCCGAAAGGCAUGCCUGUUUGAGUGUCAUGUAAUCUCAACCCCUCAGGUUUCUGACCUGGGGAGGUUGGACUUGGGUGCUGCCGCUCGGCUCACCUUAAAAGCGUCAGUGGGAUAAGCACCGGUUGGACGUAAUAAGUUUCGUCAAGCCCUGGUGUGAUGCCUGCUCACAACCCCCAUCUUUUAUCUUGACCUCAAAUCAGGUAGGACUACCCGCUGAACUUAA